AGCGCCGCGUAAGCGGGCCGACCGUCGACCCCGGCGGUGUCAGGGGCCACAGCCCAGAGCCCCCUGGCCCCGGAAAGCUGCGG
rfam:Mycobacterium celatum strain DSM 44243 contig_40, whole genome shotgun sequence.